CUUACACAUGCAAGUCGAACGGAAAGGCCCUGCUUUUGUGGGGUGCUCGAGUGGCGAACGGGUGAGUAACACGUGAGUAACCUGCCCUUGACUUUGGGAUAACUUCAGGAAACUGGGGCUAAUACCGGAUAGGAGCUCCUGCUGCAUGGUGGGGGUUGGAAAGUUUCGGCGGUUGGGGAUGGACUCGCGGCUUAUCAGCUUGUUGGUGGGGUAGUGGCUUACCAAGGCUUUGACGGGUAGCCGGCCUGAGAGGGUGACCGGCCACAUUGGGACUGAGAUACGGCCCAGACUCCUACGGGAGGCAGCAGUGGGGAAUAUUGCACAAUGGGCGGAAGCCUGAUGCAGCAACGCCGCGUGCGGGAUGACGGCCUUCGGGUUGUAAACCGCUUUCGCCUGUGACGAAGCGUGAGUGACGGUAAUGGGUAAAGAAGCACCGGCUAACUACGUGCCAGCAGCCGCGGUGAUACGUAGGGUGCGAGCGUUGUCCGGAUUUAUUGGGCGUAAAGGGCUCGUAGGUGGUUGAUCGCGUCGGAAGUGUAAUCUUGGGGCUUAACCCUGAGCGUGCUUUCGAUACGGGUUGACUUGAGGAAGGUAGGGGAGAAUGGAAUUCCUGGUGGAGCGGUGGAAUGCGCAGAUAUCAGGAGGAACACCAGUGGCGAAGGCGGUUCUCUGGGCCUUUCCUGACGCUGAGGAGCGAAAGCGUGGGGAGCGAACAGGCUUAGAUACCCUGGUAGUCCACGCUGUAAACGGUGGGUACUAGGUGUGGGGUCCAUUCCACGGGUUCCGUGCCGUAGCUAACGCUUUAAGUACCCCGCCUGGGGAGUACGGCCGCAAGGCUAAAACUCAAAGGAAUUGACGGGGCCCCGCACAAGCGGCGGAGCAUGCGGAUUAAUUCGAUGCAACGCGUAGAACCUUACCUGGGUUUGACAUGGAUCGGGAGUGCUCAGAGAUGGGUGUGCCUCUUUUGGGGUCGGUUCACAGGUGGUGCAUGGCUGUCGUCAGCUCGUGUCGUGAGAUGUUGGGUUAAGUCCCGCAACGAGCGCAACCCUUGUUCACUGUUGCCAGCACGUUAUGGUGGGGACUCAGUGGAGACCGCCGGGGUCAACUCGGAGGAAGGUGGGGAUGACGUCAAGUCAUCAUGCCCCUUAUGUCCAGGGCUUCACGCAUGCUACAAUGGCUGGUACAGAGAGUGGCGAGCCUGUGAGGGUGAGCGAAUCUCGGAAAGCCGGUCUCAGUUCGGAUUGGGGUCUGCAACUCGACCUCAUGAAGUCGGAGUCGCUAGUAAUCGCAGAUCAGCAACGCUGCGGUGAAUACGUUCCCGGGGCUUGUACACACCGCCCGUCAAGUCAUGAAAGUUGGUAACACCCGAAGCCGGUGGCCUAACCGUUGUGGGGGAGCCGUCGAAGGUGGGACUGGUGAUU
rnacentral:rRNA from 1 species